UCACAUUGUUGGGGGGACAAUUAAUAUGUGACGGAAUAAGAGAAGCAGCAUGAGACAGCAAGCAUUUGAUUAAAGACGUUAAUGGAGUCUCGGCUUGAAAAUAAACUUUAUUCCCUCAGAGUUUGUGAGGCCAAUGAGUUCUGACGGCAUUAUUUUGGCAUCGUUGUUUACGAGAAGAAGGCGUGGCUUAAAAUAAAUGUCUGUUUGAGAAAAAUGAACAAAUUGAGCCUUGAAUAAGACCUCGGAGGGAGUAACAGUCAGAACUCAGCCUACAUCGCGCUGAAGAGAAGGAGAGACGGAGAGGGAACCUGUCGCAGAAGUGGAGCCGUUAACGAGCAGCUCUUCGAUGAGUGACGUCAUCGCUCUCAAUCUUCAAAGGAAAGAAGCCGCAUGCACGGACAUUCCAGAAGCAAUCAGUGUCCAAGGAGUUCUAUCGGGUUCUUUUGGCUCAUAGGACUCCUGAGGCAGCGGACAGGUACCGACAGGCCAAGCGGUGUGCGGCUUCGGCGGAGGCAAAAACUCGGACAUGGGAGGAGUUCGGGGAAGCCAUGGAAGACGACUUCCGGACGGCUUCGAAGCGAUUCUGGACCACCAUCCGCCGCCUCAGGAAGGGGAAGCAGUGCACUAUCAACACCGUGUAUGGUGAGGAUGGUGUUCUGCUGACCUCGACAUCGGGGGCGGUACCUCUGGAUUGGCAGACCGGGGUGGUGGUUCCUCUCUUUAAGAAGGGGAACCGGAGGGUGUGUUCUAACUAUCGUGGGAUCACACUCCUCAGCCUUCCCGGUAAGGUCUAUUCAGGUGUGCUGGAGAGGAGGCUACGCCGGAUAGUCGAACCUCGGAUUCAGGA